rnacentral:rRNA from 1 species
AGAGUUUGAUCCUGGCUNNNNNNNNNNGCUGGCGGCAGGCCUAACACAUGCAAGUCGAGCGGUAGAGAGGAGCUUGCUUCUCUUGAGAGCGGCGGACGGGUGAGUAAUGCCUAGGAAUCUGCCUAGUGGUGGGGGAUAACGUUCGGAAACGGACGCUAAUACCGCAUACGUCCUACGGGAGAAAGCGGGGGACCUUCGGGCCUCGCGCCAUUAGAUGAGCCUAGGUCGGAUUAGCUAGUUGGUGAGGUAACGGCUCACCAAGGCGACGAUCCGUAACUGGUCUGAGAGGAUGAUCAGUCACACUGGAACUGAGACACGGUCCAGACUCCUACGGGAGGCAGCAGUGGGGAAUAUUGGACAAUGGGCGAAAGCCUGAUCCAGCCAUGCCGCGUGUGUGAAGAAGGUCUUCGGAUUGUAAAGCACUUUAAGUUGGGAGGAAGGGUAGUAACUUAAUACGUUGCUACUUUGACGUUACCGACAGAAUAAGCACCGGCUAACUUCGUGCCAGCCGCCGCGGUAAUAC